rnacentral:lncRNA from 1 species
CUGGUACAGUUGGGUUCAGUCCGAGUUCCUGCAGUGCCAUUUCUAAUUGCUGUCCAUUUGGAAUCUUAUCUACUUCAUAAACUGUAGGCUUUGCUCCCAAGCUGUAUAUCAGUGUUUUAACGGUGUGGCAAAGGCAGCAAGUGCUUUUGCUGAAUAUCAUCAAUGGCUUGUUUACUGUUAAACUCUCUAUAGUUUCCAUUAUUAAUCGAGAUGAUGAGAUCUAAAAACCCGAAAAUAUGCUGAUUUUUAACGUGCAAAAAAAAGAAUGAGAAAUUGUGGGAAAAAAAAGAAAUUACUCUGAUAAGAUCAGCCCUUG